rnacentral:rRNA from 1 species
AGGAACCUACGGGGCGCAGCAGUGGGGGAUAUUGCAUAAUGGGGGAAACCCUGAUGCAGCGACGCCGCGUGAGCGAUGAAGUAGUUCGGUAUGUAAAUCUCUAUCAGCAGGGAAGAAAAUGACGGUACCUGACUAAGAAGCCCCGGCUAACUACGUGCCAGCAGCCGCGGUAAUACGUAGGGGGCAAGCGUUAUCCGGAUUUACUGGGUGUAAAGGGAACGUAGACGGCAGUGCAAGUCUGAAGUGAAAGGCAAGGGCUCAACCCUUGGACUGCUUUGGAAACUGUGCUGCUCGAGUGUCGGAGG